GCACACACCCCCGCUGGCUUCCUGGACUCGUAGAGAAGUGAAACACCAACCUCAAGGGGUCAGCGGGGCAGGGAGAGGGAGGGAGAGGAACCCAACUCAUGAGGUGCCCCAGGACUGGGAGCCAGCAGGGCCUGAAAGGGUAGGGAUCCUGCCGGGGCAGGGUCUGAUCAGUCUGCUUGCUGCUGUGUAACACCUACAGAUGCUGUGUACCACCACGUCCCAGGUAAAUACUUCAGAAUGUUUCUCUACAACAGAGGUCUACAAACGUUUUCUAUAAAUAUUUGGGGCUUUGGGGGCCACACUGUCUCCACCUUGCCUACUCAACUCUGUCCUCCAAGAGCCAGGGAAAGAGGCAGAAUGCUGGGCCAGUAUCUGGAAAUGACCCCCAUACAACUCCACAUCCCAGCUUCACCUGUUUCCCACCUUUGAAGCAUGACUAGUUCCUCCAGCUAGCCCUAGGAAAUGGACAGGAAUGCUGCCGACAGCUCCUGUGGCCUCUGAGCGAAUGCCUUAGGGAAGAUGGCGGAGGAACUGACAUGCAUGUGUAUCUACGAUGGAAGCCAGAACAUUACGGGCACACAUUCCCUCAUGCACUGCUCUUCUGCCAUCAGCACCAGACGAACCCACGACCUGCAUCUGUGUGUAUGUGUGCCUCAAUGAUGUACUGUCUAGUUCUGGUUUCUAAGUUCCAGACAAAUGGCACC